AGUGCUAUGAGUCUUGAUAAAUUGGAGAAGAGCCCAAGAGAAAUUUUUCAUCCCUUGAUAUAAAAGGGAUCGGUGAAUUUUAACUUUGGAGUCCUCUAUGCUAAGGAUGCUCAGCUUACAGAUGGUGAAAUAUUCAGUAAUGUAUUUGCUGCAGCUCUGCGAACCCAAGCUUUGGGUUCCUUCUGUCCCACUGGGAGUUGCCCAAUUUGGUUGCAUCUGGUGAAAUUCACCCUGAGACCUUACAGAAGCAGCUCCAACUACGUGAGAGCCAUUUGCAGCUCUCUCCAGACACCUGGAGAAUGGGUGACGUUUCUGAGGAUCCGGCGAGCGUGCUUCUAUCAAAACUCAGUCUGUGAAAUUUCUGGGGAAAACCCUUCUGUGUCCUAAAGGGUUCAAACUCUGGUGAGGAUCCAGUUAUCAGGUGCUCACCUGGAUGGUUCCAGCUCCCAAAGGGAAAGACUCUCGUAUCCUUGUCGUUGGGCUCGGUGCUGUCCAAGAAGAUACAGAGACUACAAAAACCAUAAGAAGCAAAAUAUGACUGCAGGGAAAAGAAGCUGGAGGGAACAGAAGACUCAUCACGGCGGGACAGCGUGAAGACUGAAAGUGUAAGAAGAUGUGGAGGGAAACAGAGAAUCUGACAGGAGCAGCGGACGCACGAGUGCACGAAUUUUGCUUUUUGCUUGGAUGUAAACUCAGGAGUUGAAAGGAAUUUGGGAGUGAGAAGGGACAUUUCAGAAGGAGAAGAAGAAAAAGAAGUUGUUGUUGUUGUUGCUACAGUCCUGGCAAAAGCUUUUGUUCUAGGUAA